rnacentral:rRNA from 1 species
UACAGAGGCCCCGAGCGUUAGGCGGAAUCACUGGGCUUAAAGCGUGUGUAGGCGGGCCCGUAAGUGUCUUGUGAAAUCCCACGGCUCAACCGUGGAACUGCUGGGCAUACUGCGGGUCUUGGGCCAACUAGGGGCAGCCGGAACAAGCGGUGGAGCGGUGAAAUGCGUAGAUAUCGCUUGGAACGCCGAAGGUGAAAACAGGCUGCUGGGGUUGCGCCGACGCUGAGACACGAAAGCCAGGGGAGCAAACGGG